ACGUACACUCCUACGGGAGGCAGCAGUGGGGAAUUUUGGACAAUGGGCGAAAGCCUGAUCCAGCCAUGCCGCGUGCAGGAUGAAGGCCUUCGGGUUGUAAACUGCUUUUGUACGGAACGAAACGGCCUUUUCUAAUAAAGAGGGCUAAUGACGGUACCGUAAGAAUAAGCACCGGCUAACUACGUGCCAGCAGCCGCGGUAAUACGUAGGGUGCAAGCGUUAAUCGGAAUUACUGGGCGUAAAGCGUGCGCAGGCGGUUAUGUAAGACAGUUGUGAAAUCCCCGGGCUCAACCUGGGAACUGCAUCUGUGACUGCAUAGCUAGAGUACGGUAGAGGGGGAUGGAAUUCCGCGUGUAGCAGUGAAAUGCGUAGAUAUGCGGAGGAACACCGAUGGCGAAGGCAAUCCCCUGGACCUGUACUGACGCUCAUGCACGAAAGCGUGGGGAGCAAACAGGAUUAGAAACCCUGGUAGUCCCAU
rnacentral:rRNA from 1 species